CCUACGGGGGGCUGCAGUGGGGAAUAUUGGACAAUGGGGGCAACCCUGAUCCAGCCAUGCCGCGUGUGUGAAGAAGGCCCUCGGGUUGUAAAGCACCUUCAGUGAGGAAGAACGCCUGGUGGUUAAUACCCAUCAGGAAAGACAUCACUCACAGAAGAAGCACCGGCUAACUCCGUGCCAGCAGCCGCGGUAAUACGGAGGGUGCGAGCGUUAAUCGGAAUUACUGGGCGUAAAGCGCGCGUAGGUGGCUUGAUAAGCCGGUUGUGAAAGCCCCGGGCUCAACCUGGGAACGGCAUCCGGAACUGUCAAGCUAGAGUGCAGGAGAGGAAGGUAGAAUUCCCGGUGUAGCGGUGAAAUGCGUAGAGAUCGGGAGGAAUACCAGUGGCGAAGGCGGCCUUCUGGACUGACACUGACACUGAGGUGCGAAAGCGUGGGUAGCAAACAGGAUUAGAUACCCUAGUAGUC
rnacentral:rRNA from 1 species